GGGGGCGACCGGUUUCGACGUGGGUCGCGAAACUUCAGGGGCGUACCGAGGUGCAGCGGGCCUCGUAAAACUCUGCUGCAAAAACAUAGUUGCCAACGACGACAACUACGCUCUGGCUGCCUAACAACCGCAGCUGACCUCUGACCGGCUCGUGCCUGUGCGACCGAAUCAGGGGACGCGCUCACAGGCUCGCGAACCGGCGUGCGACGGGCCGUUUCGCUAAGAGUCACCGUCCGCUGGCGUGACGCCUUCCCUGCUCCUCGGGUAGCGGCACGCGAGAACCAAAGAGAGAGCUACGUGCGUAGAUCCUGGAGCGUAGGGCUUGCGGACGGGAGUUCGAUUCUCCCCGCCUCCACCA
rnacentral:tmRNA from 1 species